rnacentral:rRNA from 1 species
UACAGAGGUCUCAAGCGUUGUUCGGAUUCAUUGGGCGUAAAGGGUGCGUAGGCGGCGCGGUAAGUCGGGUGUGAAAUCUUGGAGCUUAACUCCGAAACUGCAUUCGAUACUGCCGUGCUUGAGGACUGGAGAGGAGACUGGAAUUUACGGUGUAGCGGUGAAAUGCGUAGAUAUCAGGAGGAAUACCGAUGGCGAAGGCAGGUCUCUGGGCUGACACUGACGCCUACAUGCACGAAAGCGUGGGGAGCAAACAGG